rnacentral:rRNA from 1 species
UACGAAGGGGGCUAGCGUUGCUCGGAAUUACUGGGCGUAAAGGGCGCGUAGGCGGUCCUUCAAGUCAGGCGUGAAAGCCCCGGGCUCAACCUGGGAACCGCGCUUGAGACUGGAGAACUAGAGUUCGGGAGAGGAUGGUGGAAUUCCCAGUGUAGAGGUGAAAUUCGUAGAUAUUGGGAAGAACACCGAUGGCGAAGGCAGCCAUCUGGACCGACACUGACGCUGAGGCGCGAAAGCGUGGGGAGCAAACAGG